rnacentral:rRNA from 1 species
GUAUGGAGCGAGCGUUGUCCGGAAUUAUUGGGCGUAAAGGGUGCGCAGGCGGCUUUACAAGUUGGAUGUGAAAUAUUGUGGCUCAACCACAAACGUGCAUCCAAAACUGCAAAGCUUGAGUUAAGGAGAGGUAAGUGGAAUUCCUGGUGUAGCGGUGGAAUGCGUAGAUAUCAGGAGGAAUACCGGUGGCGAAGGCGACUUACUGGACUUAAACUGACGCUCAGGCACGAAAGCGUGGGGAGCAAACAGGAUUAGAUACCCUGGUAGUCCACGCCGUAAACGAUGAGUGCUAGGUGUUGGGGGUCAAACCUCGGUGCCGCAGCAAACGCAAUAAGCACUCCGCCUGGGGAGU